rnacentral:lncRNA from 1 species
GCCAGGGAACCAGAGAUCAGCCAGGUAGCCCAACGCCUUUUGUAAUUAUGCAAACUAGACAAUCACCAAUGGUUCACUCCAUCUGCCUUACCUUUCCUUCGGAAACCUCAAUAAAGGCAGUGGCCUAACUCUUCCCCUAGCUCCUGUCUUCUGCCUCCUGACUACCACGGUGUCUUUCCCAUGUGAACUCAGGUGGCAUUUUGUGCCUCUAGGACCUUCAGCACUUACGACUGUUCAGAUUUGCAGAAGAAUCUUGAAUGCAUUGGACAUGGACAGAAACUCCGGGUCUGAAAAUAAAAAGCACAGAAAAAAAUAAG